CUGAGAGAAGCGAACAACACGAGAAGAGAACCAUUUGAUGGAAGAAAAUAAAAAUAAAAAGCAAGAAAAGACCAAGAAGGAAGCUGCUCAGAAACAGGCUGCUGACACGAAAACCAAAGGAGACCGCCCUGCUACCAUGGCAACCCAACAAUUUGCCACGGCGACUGACAUAUUUACAAGGUGUCACCGCGGUGACAGGAGAACUGCAUUAUUUCCACCCGGGAAACCGGACGACAUCACAUCGUAAUAUGCAUAUUGGAUUAAUUUGCAAUUUCACAUUCAAUUAAUUGUCAACACUUUUUAGUCGGAUAGGAUUUCUUAAAUCGCAAUCUAAUUGGGGGAUAAUUGACUUUCCCGUGGGGGGGGGGCAGGGGCGCCGUCGCCUUUCUGUGUCUAACUGCAACAUUAAUAAAUACUCUGUAAAUGAAUAGUGAGUGAAUGGAUCCUGGUUUAUGGAUGCGAAGGAUAAUUGUUUUGUCUCUUUGCUUGCAUGUCAAGUAGAGGGGGUUGAUUUAGGAGUAGAGAGAGGGGGAUGAAGUGGAAGGGAGGGGACAGAGAAGUGGGGGAUAUUUUCUGCAUGUAUUCAUGUUGGAUUAUCACUCACACGCUGCAGACAGAAGAGGCAAUUCAAUAUACCCUCCGUUACAUCACAGCUGAGAGGGCUCAUGUCACAUUUAGAGGCAGAUUAAUAGAAAAGCGUAUGUGCUGAUAUUAAUGGCAUUUAAAGAUAAAGCUUUGCAUGGGGGAGAGGGUUGUGUGGCUGAGCAGGACUGCCUGGUGUGUCUGGAAGAGGCAGCCCUCCUGUCUUCUGCUUCAGGUCACAUUCUGCCUUUUCAUGUCCAAACCACCAACACCACUGCCAUUUUUGUGUGUUGACGAGGAUAUGCUGACGAAUCAUAUCUACUUGGGAAGCUUUGGCUCAGUGGUAUACACAUGACUCCUAAGGCAUGUGGAUAGAAGCUGUCCUUGUGCACAGAUCUAGGAUCAGCUUACCUUCUUACCAUAGCGUGUAGAGAACACACCUGACCUUAGAUCAGUCUUUGGGCAACAAUCUCCUUUGGAUACACUGUAUGGAUAAGGGAGGACUGACUGAAUCGUAUCUAAGUGUGGGACUUUGGCUUAGUGUUAUCUACCCAUAGUUAACUGCAGUGAAUUCUAACAAGCUGUCUCUAUGAAUUGUAUCUAUGGAUCAACCAGACUCCUAAAGCACGUAGAAAGUGUGGCGAGAAUGAGUCAACACUGCUGAGAUGAGCCCUCUGCUCAUUAGUGUGUGUGUGUCGGGGCUCAGGGUGGGGUGGUGGGUCACAGGAGGCCCGCAGAGGUGCAUUAGGCAUCUCCAUGGUGAUGGGCGGUGGCCUAGUACCCAGGGAAGGGUCAGGGGUGGAAAGCUGUGCCUUUUAGUGUCUCUGUGUGUGUGUGGGGGUCUCUGACCUGCUACACGAUUUACUACUGACAGAUGGAACCUCAGACAACCCCCCCCCCCCCCAUGGCACACACUCUCACAAGAGACUGUCUGGGUGUAUCUUAACAAGCAACCAUCAACACUCAAAGCUACUGAUCCUGCUGUACCACUAAAGUCUAUAGCCCCUCUUAACCUUUAGUACUGUCAGUCCUCUCAACUACCCUGUAUCCACUUAAACAGGCCACUAAACACACAUACACCUCAUCGGUCAGAUGGUUUAGUUAAGUCCCUACAUCACUACUUUCCAAUGCUUGGAUAUGAAAAAUAUGGCUUUUCAUGAAGUCACAUUAACAUUUGAUUUCCAAUGAGAGUCAUGUAUAUAACUCCAUGCAGGAUGCAGAUAAACCUCUUCUGUAGUCCACUUAUGUGUUCUACACACAGCCCUCCCCCACUAUAAACAUAGUCACAUAUUAAAAUGGGUCCUCAUCACACAAUAGCAGCACGUAGCUAACCUCUGACAUGGACGAUUCCCAGAACCCUUCAAAGCCAGGCACACACUCCAUAACCGAGCCAAUGGCUCCUUAUGCUCCAGAGCCUGCCCUCUUGACCAUCAUCCUUUUCACUCAAGCUUUUUCAUCUCUUUCGGCUUAGUUAACCAUUGAGUGGGGGACAGGAGGCCAAAAUUACAAGUUUGGUUAGGAGUGCUUCUCCUCCCUUGAGGGUUUAAUGGAAUUUACAGUGUGUCUCGUUAUAAUGGUUUAUUUAAUUGACUCUCCUUUGAACAUCAAAUAGUGUUUUUAAGGCUUUAGCGACCCGAAAAGGUCUAGUAUUGCAGUUUGUUUGCGCUCCUUCUCUUUCAUUCUCUCUCGUUCUCACACUCUUAAUUUGUGCGCGCUCUCUAAUUCUGUAUACCAUUCUCCAUUCAUUCCAUCUUUCAUUCUCUCCCUUUACUUUGCCUCUUGCUCUGGGUGUUCCUACGAUCUCUCAAUCUCCCCUCUAAGUCUUUGGGUGUAGGACAAUGUCACACGUAUCACCUGCUAUCUCUCCCAUCAGACAUACAGAUGAAUCUCAUAUAUAUAUAUAUAUAUAUAUAUAUAUAUAAGAAAAAAUCUCUCACACAAAUGAUGGCGCUAGAGAACUUGACUAGACAGCAUUUUGAUAUCGCUUUCUCUCAUCCUGGUGAAGGGGUUUUGUUUCGCCUCAAAUCUCCCGCGAAGCGCUUUAGUGUCCGUUAUGGAUUUUAAAAAAACAACUCUUUCCCCAAAAAAUAAAAGGAGUAAUGUUUUGCUAGAUCUCUUUUUAUUUAGAGCCGAGAGACGUCGUAUCGUAGCCGCCAUUCAUGCUCACACACACGCUCGUGUGCACACACACACAGCUACUCUCUCCUGAGUAAACUCUUUUUCACUGAGUUAUUAAAUGCAGAUUAUUCCAAAGACGGAUACACAAUACCCAGCUGGCUGGAAUAACAACCGCAAUUUCCCAUCAUAGACCAGAUAAACUGUGAUCAUUUACACGCACAACAUAGUGCUUUAAUAGCUAUUUAAUUGUGUUGUAAAAGCACCAGUGUUAUAAACAGAGGCUACUGGAGAAUAGAGUGGAAACGCACACACCCAACCAACCCCCCCUCAGAUAUACUCGCAUAAUGUGGGAUAUCCACACUCACAAUGUACACCCGCACACCCUCCCACCACGUCAUAGAAGCUGUGAUUCAUAGGGUGUGUGUGAGAGAGGCUGCCGGCCCAGUAACAGCCCAGCAGUCCAUCUGCUUCCUCUAAUGGAUUCAGAGCAGCAGUGAACAAUGAGAGAGACCGAAUUGGAUGAACGAGGGGGAGGGAGCACUAGAGAAUAAAAGGGAGGGAGGGCGAGGGACAGGUUGAAGGGAGAGAAUGAAAUGGCUGAGCGGAGGGUGAAACGAAACAGGAGAGGGUGGACAUUGUAAAAGGCAAGCGCGAGGAAGGAGAGAGAGAGGAGCAGGACGAAGGAGAGGGAGAGAGCCGAGGGGGGGUGCGUGGUGAGGACACAGCACCCUGCCUGCUGAUUGGCUGUGACUGCGUCAGGCGGGCUGAGGCUGAAUUUAAUCAGAUAUGUGCGUCACCAGCUGCCUGCUGCAGCGCCCAACCAGCUAGCUAGCUCCUGCUGCUGGAGGGGCCAGCUCUGACCAGAGAUGGAGGUAGAUCAGCAGGCAGUAUGCAGUUUAUGAGCGAGAGAACCUAG
rnacentral:lncRNA from 13 species